GUUAAAAAGCUCGUAGUUGGAGUUCUGCCAGGUGCCGCCUGUCCGCCCCAGUGGUGAGUACGUGGCGCGCAUUUGGCCCUUUCAAGGGGAGCGUAUUGCACUUAACUGUGUGGUGCGGGAUCCUUGACUUUUACUUUGAGGAAAUAAGAGUGUUCCAAGCAGGCUCUCGUCGUGCAUAGCUCAGCAUGGAAUAAUAGCAUUGGAUCUCGAUUCCAAACUGUUGGUUGUAGGAAACGAGAUAAUGAUGAAGAGGGAUAGUUGGGGGCAUUCGUAUUUAACUGUCAGAGGUGAAAUUCUUGGAUUUGUUAAAGACGAACUACUGCGAAAGCAUCUGCCAUGGAUGUUUUCAUUGAUCAAGAACGAAAGUUAGGGGAUCGAAGACGAUCAGAUACCGUCCUAGUCUUAACUAUAAACCAUGCCGGCUAGAGAUCGGAGGUUGUUCGUUUUGUGACGCCUUCAGCAUCUUGAGAGAAAUCAAAGCCUUUGGGUUCCGGGGGGAGUAUGGUCGCAAGGCUGAAACUUAAAGGAAUUGACGGAAGGGCACCACCAGGAGUGGAGCCUGCGGCUUAAUUUGACUCAACACGGGGAAACUCACCAGGUCCAGACUGGGUAAGGAUGUACAGAUUGACAGCUCUUUACAGAUUCUCAGGGUGGUGGUGCAUGGCCGUUCUUAGUUGGUGGAGUGAUUUGUCUGGUUAAUUCCGUUAACG
rnacentral:rRNA from 1 species